GCACACAUCCUCUUGCCUUGUCUCGCUCUACGUACAGCACUUCCAUCAUGAACCCGAUGACAUCUGUGAUGGUGACGGUGGCUCUGGCCAUGCUGGUAGCCGGGACUACAACUGCGGCUAGCACAGGCGG